AGUGAAGUUAGUGAAAUUUACAGUCAAAUACGCUGGAUUCAAAAUCCAGUUUCUUCGGAAGUGCGGGUUCGAUUCCCGCC
rnacentral:tRNA from 1 species